GACGAACGCUGGCGGCGUGCUUAACACAUGCAAGUCGAACGAGAGCGUAGAGAAAGCUUGCUUUUUCUACAAUCUAGUGGCAAACGGGUGAGUAACGCGUAAACAACCUGCCCUACGGAUGGGGACAACAGCUGGAAACGGCUGCUAAUACCGAAUACGUUCCGAAAGUCGCAUGACUAUCGGAAGAAAGGAUGGCCUCUAUUUAUAAGCUAUCGCCGGAGGAGGGGUUUGCGUCUGAUUAGCUAGUUGGAGGGGUAACGGCCCACCAAGGCGACGAUCAGUAGCCGGUCUGAGAGGAGGAACGGCCACAUUGGAACUGAGACACGGUCCAGACUCCUACGGGAGGCAGCAGUGGGGAAUCUUCCGCAAUGGGCGAAAGCCUGACGGAGCAACGCCGCGUGAGUGAAGACGGCCUUCGGGUUGUAAAGCUCUGUUAUACGGGACGAAUAAUCUUGUGGUUAAUACCCAGGAGAAGUGACGGUACCGUAAGAGAAAGCCACGGCUAACUACGUG
rnacentral:rRNA from 1 species